AUGGCAGAGAUAGAAUAAAAACAGAAAAAUGGCGACGGUCACGUUGUGGCGAGCCUUGCUGCGUCAUUAGAUAAUCCUCAUGCAAAUAGCGGGAAGAACAAAGGAAGGGGAGCCCGGGACCCCCGGGGGCGCAGGAUCCGGCGGGAGGAGUCUAAGAGGAGGAGGCGGCGGUGCCGGAGGAGGAGGAGGAGGGAGGGAGAAGAGAGGAAGACCGGAGUCCCCGCGGCGGCGGCGGUCCGGAGAGAGGGCGAGCCCCGCGCGGCGCCGGGGACCGGGCGCUACCACGAGGCCGGGACGCUGGAGUCUGGGG
rnacentral:lncRNA from 1 species